rnacentral:rRNA from 1 species
GAUGAACGCUGGCGGCGUGCCUAAUACAUGCAAGUCGAGCGAACAGACGAGGAGCUUGCUCCUCUGACGUUAGCGGCGGACGGGUGAGUAACACGUGGAUAACCUACCUAUAAGACUGGGAUAACUUCGGGAAACCGGAGCUAAUACCGGAUAAUAUAUUGAACCGCAUGGUUCAAUAGUGAAAGACGGUUUUGCUGUCACUUAUAGAUGGAUCCGCGCCGCAUUAGCUAGUUGGUAAGGUAACGGCUUACCAAGGCAACGAUGCGUAGCCGACCUGAGAGGGUGAUCGGCCACACUGGAACUGAGACGCGGUCCAGACUCCUACGGGAGGCAGCAGUAGGGAAUCUUCCGCAAUGGGCGAAAGCCUGACGGAGCAACGCCGCGUGAGUGAUGAAGGUCUUCGGAUCGUAAAGCUCUGUUAUUAGGGAAGAACAAAUGUGUAAGUAACUAUGCACGUCUUGACGGUACCUAAUCAGAAAGCCACGGCUAACUACGUG